rnacentral:rRNA from 1 species
UACGUAGGGUGCGAGCGUUGUCCGGAAUUAUUGGGCGUAAAGAGCUCGUAGGCGGUUUGUCACGUCUGCUGUGAAAUCCCGAGGCUCAACCUCGGGCCUGUAGUGGGUACGGGCAGACUGGAGUGCGGUAGGGGAGAAUGGAAUUCCUGGUGUAGCGGUGGAAUGCGCAGAUAUCAGGAGGAACACCGAUGGCGAAGGCAGUUCUCUGGGCCGUAACUGACGCUGAGGAGCGAAAGCGUGGGGAGCGAACAGG